rnacentral:lncRNA from 1 species
GGGGUUCUGAGGGGGUUUGUGAGGGGAAAUCCCCACCGAGGUGGUUCUGAGGGGAUCUGGGAGGGCUCUGAGGGGUUUGUGAGGGGAAACAGCCCUGAGGGGAUCCUGAGGGGUUCCGAGUGGCCUCUGCCAGCCCCUUUCUCUUUCCAUGUCCCCUCAGACCUCCCCCUUUGCCAGGUGCCACCAUCUCGCUGUCACUCCCUUCUCCAGGUGCCACCAGCUGACUGUCACCCCUUUUCCAGGUGCCACCGGCUGAGUGUCACCCCUUUUCCAGGUGCCACCAGCCGACUGUCACCCUUUUCCAGGU